CCUACGGGUGGCUGCAGUGAGGAAUAUUGGUCAAUGGACGCAAGUCUGAACCAGCCAUGUCGCGUGCAGGAAGACGGCUCUAUGAGUUGUAAACUGCUUUUGUACGAGGGUAAACGCAGAUACGCGUAUCUGUCUGUAAGUAUCGUACGAAUAAGGAUCGGCUAACUCCGUGCCAGCAGCCGCGGUAAUACGGAGGAUUCAAGCGUUAUCCGGAUUUAUUGGGUUUAAGGGGGGUGAAGGCGGCCUGUUAAGGCAGCGGUAAAAGCCCGGGGCUCAACCCCGGCGAGCAGUUGAAACUUGCGGGCUGGAGUUGGAGAGAAGUACGCGGAAUGCGCGGUGUAGCGGUGAAAUGCUUAGAGAUCGCGCAGAACCCCGAUUGCGAAGGCAGCGUACCGGCUCCACACUGACGCUGAGGCACGAAAGCGUGGGUAUCGAACAGGAUUAGAUACCCCAGUAGUC
rnacentral:rRNA from 1 species